AUAGAGGCGUUUUUAAACGCCACUCUUUGAAAUAAUGGUGUUUCGU
rfam:Corchorus capsularis cultivar CVL-1 contig09386, whole genome shotgun sequence.